rnacentral:rRNA from 1 species
AACCCAACAGCUAGCCCACCUACCAACCUAACAACUAACUAUAAAUAAACCCUAAUACCCCAAACCUAAAAUAAACAAACCAUUUUUCCGUCCUAGUAUGUGCGACAGAAAAGAAACUAUGCGAGCGAUAGAGACAGUACCGCAAGGGAAAGCUGAAAAAGAAAUGAAAUAAACCAUUCAAGUCAAAAAAAGCAGAGAUUAACACUCGUACCUUUUGCAUCAUGUUUUAGCCAGUACUACUCAAGCAAAGAGCCCUUUAGUUUGAUACCCCGAAACUGGACGAGCUACUCCAAGACAGCCCAUAAUGGGGCCAACCCGUCUCUGUGGCAAAAGAGUGGGAAGAGCUUCGAGUAGAAGUGACAGACUUACCGAGCCCAGUUAUAGCUGGUUGCCUGAGAAAUGAAUUUAAGUUCAGCCCUCUAGAUUUCCAAAUCAAACCGAAUCAUCUAUGCACGUACCCGGAAAACUAGAAGAGUUAUUCAAAGAAGGUACAGCUCCUUUGAAAAAAGAAACAACUUUGAUAGGUGGGUAAAGAUCAUAAUAAACAAGGGUAGAUGUUUUAGUGGGCCUAAAAGCAGCCACCACAAUAGAAAGCGUUAAAGCUCAGACAUAGCUCUUACUUCAACCCCCAGAUAUUGAUACAUAAAUCUUACACCCCUAACCCGUAUCAGGCCUACCCAUGCAACCAUGUGAGAGAUCCUGCUAAUAUGAGUAAUAAGAACGUACCAGACGUUCUCCACGCACACGUGUACAUCAGAACGGACUAACCCACUGAUCCAUUACCGGACCCAAAAAAAGAGGGAACUGAGCAAACAAAGCAAUAAACCAGAAGAACACUCAACAAAUUUAACCGUUAACCCCACACUGGAGUGCAAACAAGGAAAGACUAAAAGAAUAAGAAGGAACUCGGCAAACACAAGCCUCGCCUGUUUACCAAAAACAUCGCCUCUUGCAAAAACAAAGCAUAAGAGGUCCCGCCUGCCCUGUGACUAUAUGUUUAACGGCCGCGGUAUUUUGACCGUGCAAAGGUAGCGCAAUCACUUGUCUUUUAAAUGAAGACCCGUAUGAAUGGCAUAACGAGGGCUUAACUGUCUCCUUUUUCCAGUCAAUGAAAUUGAUCUCCCCGUGCAGAAGCGGGGAUAUAACCAUAAGACGAGAAGACCCUGUGGAGCUUUAGACACAAGACAGACCAUAAAGAACAGUUAAAGACAAAAAACCAAACCCAAAUGGACUUUCUGCCUGAUUAUGUCUUUGGUUGGGGCGACCGCGGGGAAAAACAAAACCCCCACGUGGAAUGAGAGCACCCCUCUUACAACCGAGAGCUACAUCUCUAAGAAACAGUAUAUCUGACCAAAAAUGAUCCGACACUAGUCGAUCAACGAACCGAGUUACCCCAGGGAUAACAGCGCAAUCCCCUCCCAGAGCCCAUAUCGACGAGGGGGUUUACGACCUCGAUGUUGGAUCAGGACAUCCUAAUGGUGCAACCGCUAUUAAGGGUUCGUUUGUUCAACGAUUAAAGUCCUACGUGAUCUGAGUUCAGACCGGAGUAAUCCAGGUCAGUUUCUAUCUAUGCUAUGUUCUUUUCCAGUACGAAAGGACCGAAAAGAGAGGGCCCAUGCUAAAAGUAUGCCCUUCCCCCACUUGAUGAAAACAACUAAAACAAACAAGGGGGCAUAUCCCACAUAGCCCUCGAGAAUGGCAU